AGUUCGGAUUGCAGUCUGCAACUCGGCUGCAUGAAGCUGGAAUCGCUAGUAAUCGCGGAUCAGAAUGCCGCGGUGAAUACGUUCCCGGGUCUUGUACACACCGCCCGUCACACCAUGGGAGUCAGCAACGCCCGAAGCCGGUGACCCAACCUUAGGGAGGGAGCCGUCGAAGGCGGGCGGAUAACUGGGGUGAAGUCGUAACAAGGUAAC
rnacentral:rRNA from 1 species